CCUACGGGAGACAGCAGUCGAGAAUCAUUCACAAUGGGCGAAAGCCUGACGGUGCGACGCCGCGUGGGGGAAUGAAGGUCUUCGGAUGUUAACUUCUUGUCUUGUGGGAGCAUAGUAAAAAGUUAGUACCACAAGAGCAAGAGCUGGCUAACUCCGUGCCAGCAGCCGCGGUAAUACAGAGGUGGCAUGCGUUGUACGGACUCACUGGGCGUAAAGGGUGGGUAGGCUGGUUCGUAAGUCGUGUGUGAAAGCGGCGGGCUCAACCGGCGGACGGCACAUGAAACUGCGGAUCUUGAGUAAUGGAGAGGCAGACGGAAUUCUCGGUGUAGCGGUGAAAUGCGUAGAUAUUGGGAGGAACACUAGUGGCGAAGGCGGGUUGCUGGACAUUAACUGACGGUGAGGCGCGAAGGCGAGGGGAGCGAAAGGGAUUAGAUACCCUUGUAGUC
rnacentral:rRNA from 1 species